GACGAACGCUGGCGGCGUGCUUAACACAUGCAAGUCGAACGGAAAGGCCCUGCUUUUGUGGGGUGCUCGAGUGGCGAACGGGUGAGUAACACGUGAGUAACCUGCCCUUGACUUUGGGAUAACUUCAGGAAACUGGGGCUAAUACCGGAUAGGAGCUCCUGCUGCAUGGUGGGGGUUGGAAAGUUUCGGCGGUUGGGGAUGGACUCGCGGCUUAUCAGCUUGUUGGUGGGGUAGUGGCUUACCAAGGCUUUGACGGGUAGCCGGCCUGAGAGGGUGACCGGGGACAUGAGGACUACGGGACGGAGCAGUAUGGUAUGGUCGGCAAUGGGCGAGAAUAUUGCGCAGCAGGGCCAAGUGUGAGGCAACAGUGUUGGGUGCGGAAUGCUCGCCUUUGAGGUAUAAACAGAUUUCGACUGAAACGUAGCCGUAGUGACGGUAAUGAAUAAAAAAGCACCGGCUAACUACGUG
rnacentral:rRNA from 1 species